rnacentral:pre_miRNA from 1 species
AAAAGAUUAUUAUGGUUAUUAUGGUGAUGAUGAUGAUGAUGAUGAUCAUCAUCAUCAUCAUCAUCAUCAUCAUCAUCAUCAUCUCCU